rnacentral:tRNA from 1 species
GCGCCCGUAGCUCAGAGGAUAGAGUGUUCGACUCCGACUCGAAAGAUCGCACGUUCGAAUCGUGUCGGGCGCGCCA